rnacentral:rRNA from 1 species
CCUACGGGAGGCUACAGUGGGGAAUAUUGCACAAUGGGGGAAACCCUGAUGCAGCGACGCCGCGUGAGUGAGGAAGUAUUUCGGUAUGUAAAGCUCUAUCAGCAGGGAAGAAAAUGACGGUACCUGACUAAGAAGCCCCGGCUAACUACGUGCCAGCAGCCGCGGUAAUACGUAGGGGGCAAGCGUUAUCCGGAUUUACUGGGUGUAAAGGGAGCGUAGACGGUUAAUCAAGUCAGAAGUGAAAACCCAGGGCUCAACCUUGGGACUGCUUUUGAAACUGAGUAGCUAGAGUGCAGGAGAGGAGAAUGGAAUUCCUAGUGUAGCGGUGAAAUGCGUAGAGAUUAGGAAGAACACCAGUGGCGAAGGCGAUUCUCUGGACUGUAACUGACGCUGAGGCUCGAAAGCGUGGGGAGCAAACAGGAUUAGAUACCCCUGUAGUC